GGUAUGGCGAAAUGGGUAGACGCUACGGACUUAAU
rnacentral:tRNA from 1 species